AUGCUUUGGCAGCACAUAUACUAAAAUUGGAACAUACAGAGAAGAUUAGCAUGGCCCCUGCACAAGGAUGACAUGCAAAUUCAUAAAGUGUUCCAUAAUUUU